rfam:Camelus ferus unplaced genomic scaffold scaffold12758, whole genome shotgun sequence.
GGAGGUAUAGCUCAGUGGCAGAGCACAUGCUUAGGUUAGCAUGCACGAAGUCCUGGGUUCAAUCCCCAGUACCUCCA